rnacentral:ncRNA from 3 species
GGGAAUCCGACUGUUUAA